UGAGGGAGUCUGUGAGCGACUGGA
rnacentral:piRNA from 1 species